rnacentral:rRNA from 1 species
UUAAAGUUGUUGCAGUUAAAAAGCUCGUAGUUGAACCUUGGGCCUGGCUGGCCGGUCCGCCUCACCGCGUGCACUGGUCCGGCCGGGCCUUUUCUUCUGGGGAGCCGCAUGCCCUUCACUGGGUGUGUCGGGGAACCAGGACUUUUACUUUGAAAAAAUUAGAGUGUUCAAAGCAGGCCUAUGCUCGAAUACAUUAGCAUGGAAUAAUA